rnacentral:rRNA from 1 species
CUCAAUGAAAUUCAAUAGCCGCAAUAUUUGUGCUAAGGUAGCAUAAUCAUUUGUUUUUUAAUUAAAAACUAGAACGAAAGAUUUAACAUUUCUAUUUCUAUCUUAUAUAUAUAAAUAUAAUUUAUUUUAAAUAUUAAAAAAUAUUUAUUAUUUAAAAAGACGACAAGACCCUAUCGAACUUAACUAAAGUUUAACUGGGGUAGUUGAUUAAAUACAAUUUUAAUUUAAUUUUAAAAAAAUCUAAUACAAUUAAAUAAUCAAGUUACCGUAGGGAUAACAGCGUAAUAAUUUUUACAAGAUCUUAUUCAAAAAAUCGUUUACGACCUCGAUGUUGAAUUAUUAAUCUAUUAAAUGCAAUAAUUUAAUAAUGAGAGUC